rnacentral:rRNA from 1 species
GAUCAUGGCUAAGGACGAACGCUGGCGGCGUGCUUAACACAUGCAAGUCGAACGAGAAUCUGUGGAACGAGGAUUCGUCCAAGUGAAGCAGAGGACAGUGGCGGACGGGUGAGUAACGCGUGAGGAACCUGCCUUUCAGAGGGGGACAACAGUUGGAAACGACUGCUAAUACCGCAUAACACAUGGGUGUCGCAUGGCACUGAUGUCAAAGAUUUAUCGCUGAAAGAUGG